GACGAACGCUGGCGGCGUGCUUAACACAUGCAAGUCGAACGGAAAGGCCCUGCUUUUGUGGGGUGCUCGAGUGGCGAACGGGUGAGUAACACGUGAGUAACCUGCCCUUGACUUUGGGAUAACUUCAGGAAACUGGGGCUAAUACCGGAUAGGAGCUCCUGCUGCAGGGUGGGGGUUGGAAAGUUUCGGCGGUUGGGGAUGGACUCGCGGCUGAUCAGCUUGUUGGUGGGGUAGUGGCUUACCAAGGCUUUGACGGGUAGCCGGCCUGAGAGGGUGACCGGCCACAUUGGGUCUGAGAUACGGCCCAGACGCCUACGGGAGGCAGCAGUGGGGAAUAUUGCACAAUGGGCGGAAGCCUGAUGCAGCAACGCCGCGUGCGGGAUGACGGCCUUCGGGUUGUAAACCGCUUUCGCCUGUGACGAAGCGUGAGUGACGGUAAUGGGUGAAGAGGCACCGGCUAACUACGUG
rnacentral:rRNA from 1 species